UGGAUUUGAGGUAUCUUUAACUUUUAAUUCUUUAUUUAUUUUUUAUAAGGGUUAAUUGUAUGUAGCUAUUUGUAAACAUAGCGAAUUACUAAUAUAUCCAUAUACAGUUCAACUUUUUUAUAUUAUUCCUGUAAAAGUUCUAAUAUUUUCAAAUAUGCCUAUACUGAAUCCGUUAAAAAAAUUUAGUUAACUAUAGAUAAAAAACUUACUCUUGGAUAGUCAAUUGGGUAAAUUGACAUUUUUACCAUUCUUAUAUUAUAUCUUGUUCUCUUAAUAAAAACUCUAGUACUGGAAACUCUUUUUCUUGUUCUUCCUUUUAUUCUUUCUCUUUCUCCUUCAUGCUAAUUUCGAACACGUAACUAAAAUUUCUGUCCCUAUUCAUCCACGACACUUGUUACUUCGCCCAUGUCGAACGCGUGUUGCUUUCCCAUUCAAUUUCUUCUAUAAUUUUUUUUUAUUUUGCUAAAAAAAAGGCUUAAGAGAAAAAUAGUGAGAGAAGAUGUUGCAAUAAUGGUGAAUUGGGCUGAGUUUUAAAAAGCAAGAAGAUGAGGAAGAAGAUUGUCACGCCCCGGAUUACACGUUCCCCGGGCACGCCGACAAAUCCGCCGUAUACAAAGAAAUUUUCCCUGUAUACGAAGCGACAGCUGUACCUGUAAAUCAAACACUACUACGAACAGUAGUAGAGAGCUGCUAGAGAAACAGAAGCUAAACAAACAGAGUUUCAUAUACAUAGUCC
rnacentral:lncRNA from 1 species